ACCUGGUUGAUUCUGCCAGUGCGGAUAUGCUCAUCUCAAGGACUUAGCGCCAUGCAUGCCAAAGUUCAAGCCGAUAAAUGGUGAGACUGCGAAUGGCUCAGUAAAUCAGUUAUUAUGUAAUCGAUUCAUGCUGUGUGUAAAAAGCACAGAUUUUCGGAUAACUGUGGUAACUCUAGAGCUAAUACGUGUAUGGGUGAUAUUGUUUCGGCAAUAUCAUCAGCAUUUAUUUGCUCCUAGUGUGUGUGUUACCACUCAUGCUAGCCAACAUGUAUGAUGACUAUCUUCCGGUAGUUGUUGUAUAAAUCUUAGAUGAAUCAAAAUAACUGAUUGCUGAUCGAUUAAGGACUUUGUUCCUUCGAUAUAUCGAAUCAAUUUCUGCCCCAUCAAUUAGUUGGUUGGGUAGUGGCCAACCAAGGUGUUGACGGGUAACGGGGAAUCAGGGUUUGAUUCCGGAGAGGGAGCCUGAGAAACGGCUACCACAUCCAAGGGUGGCAGCAGGCGCGCAAAUUAUCCAAUCCAGAUAAUGGGAGAUAGCGACAAGACAUACCAGGAGUGACCUUAUUUAAGGUCAAUCACUGGAAUGGAUGCAAUUUAAAUACCUCAAUGAGGAACUACUGGAGGGCAAGUCUGGUGCCAGCAGCCGCGGUAAUACCGGCUCCAGUGGUGUAUCGCAUUGUUGCUGCGGUUAAAACGCUCGUAGUUUGAUAGCAGUAUGUAUGCCGGCUGUAGCAUUAUUCAUGCUGCUAGUGUUACAUUAUGUUUGGUAUGAUGUAAUGCUUCGGUGUUAUGUUGUAUUGAAUGUACUGUUAUGCUAGUUGUUAUGUGAUAAUGUAUCGUGGUUACACAAUUAUUGUCUUUCCAAGGACAAUACUGUGAUGAACACUACAGUUUCAAUGAAAUUUGGUGAGUAACGCACAUUUAUGUGUUUGUUAUUCAUCAAUAUGACCGCUAGCUUUAUUAUUCAAAGAAUUUUAAUUGCUAUGUCAUUCGGCAUACGUACUUAAAUUCACAAGAUUGUUCAUCACCUUCACUGGUGGUGAAUAACAUUUCUUGUGAAAAGAUUGCCUUGAAUAAAAUAGAGUGCUCAAAGCAUGCUUGUGCUCGAAUAUGCUAGCACGGAACGAAUGUAUCCUAACCACCCCGUUGGGUGUAUUGCAGGAUUGUUGGUCUGCACACCUAUGUGGGUAUCGGUUAACAGGGACAUUUGGGGGCAUUGAUACUUAGCCGCGAGAGGUGAAAUUCUAAGACCGGCUAAAGAUCGACAAUUGCGAAAGCAUUUGCCAAGAAUGUUUUCAUUAAUCAAGAGCGAAAGUUGAGGGAUCAAAGCUGAUUAGAUACCAGCGUAGUCUCACACUACCAAUGUUGCCAUCCUGGAUUUGAUCUUUAACACAUACAUUGUGAAAGAACAGAUCCACCGGGAAACCUGAAGUUUUUGGGUUCCGGGGGGAGUAUGGUCGCAAGGCUGAAACUUAAAGGAAUUGACGGAAGGGCACCACCAGGAGUGGAGCCUGCGGCUUAAUUUGACUCAACACGGGGAAUCUCACCAGGUCCGGACAUUGGCAGGAUUGACAGAAUGACAGAUCUUUCAUGAUUUGGUGGAUGGUGGUGCAUGGCCGCUCUUAGUUGGUGGAGCGAUCUGUCAGGUCAAUUCCGGUAACGAGCGAGAUCAACUUCUCUAUUUUGGUCGUCUUGAUAACUGUAUACUUGUUUUUGUUUGUAUGUCUCUCUUGUAGCAUGUUAUGCAAGUGUGCUUGAUUUCGGUUGAGUGCAUUUGUGUGAUGUAUGCAGGAAAAGGUAUAUUUGCAACAUGUAUGCUUGUGUCAGGUCACCUUCAUAGAGAGACAACCGGUGUUUUUUUUAACCGGUGGAAGUGUGGCCAUAGCAGGUCUGUUAUGCCCUUAGAUGUUCUGGGCUGCACGCGUGCUACAAUGGAGGUGCCAGCGAGUUUAACCUUACCGAAAGGUACGGGUAAUCUUGUGAAUCGCCUUCGUGAUGGGGAUUGAGCUUUGAAAUUAUCGCUCAUGAACCUGGAAUUCCUCGUAAGUACGAGUCAUCAGCUCGGGCUGAAUACGUCUCUGCCCUUUGUACACACCGCCCGUCGCCACUUCCGAUUGGAUGGGCCGGCAAGAACUUUGGAUUGAGAAUGUCAUUAUGUGUCGUUUUUGAGAUAUUGUUCAAGCCGGUUCAAUCAGAGGACGUGAAAGUCGUAACAAGGCUUCCGUUGGGGAACCAGCUGAAAGAUCAUUAACGCUUAAUUAAAAAAAAAAAUAACAAGCCAUAUCACAUCAAACACGUGAAAUAGGUAUUUGUGUGUGGAAAUAUCAAUGAAUAUGUAGCAUUAGGGUGAUGCUGACGACCGGUGCAUGUAUAAUGUGUAUGACAUGUCCUAGUGUGCAUUUUAUUGUUUAUAUUAUCAACUCACUGUUUGUGAGUGUGUACAUGUAUAUGGUUUCGUUAGUGUGUGUACGUUGAUUUUUUUUUUGUAUGUGUUAUGAUGUGUUUGUGAAGUAUCCAUAAAAAAAAACACUUUAAUCCGGUCACUAGCUAUGAGGAU
rnacentral:rRNA from 1 species